rnacentral:misc_RNA from 1 species
CUCGGCACGGGCGGUGAAAGCGCCGUCGCUCGUCCGCCACUCG